UGGGGAAUAUUGGACAAUGGGGGAAACCCUGAUCCAGCGACGCCGCGUGAGUGAAGAAGUAUUUCGGUAUGUAAAGCUCUAUCAGCAAGGAAGAAAAUGACGGUACUUGACUAAGAAGCCCCGGCUAACUACGUGCCAGCAGCCGCGGUAAUACAUAGGGGGCAAGCGUUGUCCGGAAUCACUGGGCGUAAAGGGAGCGUAGGCGGAUGUUUAAGUUAAGUGUGAAAGCCUGGGGCUUAACUCCAGAAAUGCACUUAAUACUGGAUAUCUAGAGUGUGGGAGAGGUAAGUGGAAUUCCUAGUGUAGCGGUAAAAUGCGUAGAUAUUAGGAGGAACACCAGAGGUGAAGGCGGCUUACUGGACCACAACUGACGCUGAGGCUCGAAAGCGUGGGGA
rnacentral:rRNA from 1 species